AAAGUCAUAACAAGGUUUCCGUAGGUGAACCUGCGGAAGGAUCAUUAAUAGUGCUCAUUGACGCAAGUCAGUGAGUUAGAUCAUGAUAGAAUCGGGGCGGCAGAGAUACUUCGCUCUGGUUCUAUCUUCCAUACACACCGUGAACUGUGGCUUCGGCCAUCACAAACUGUUAGUAAUGAAUGUAAUAUCAUAACAAAAACAAAACUUUUAACAACGGAUCUCUUGGCUCUC
rnacentral:misc_RNA from 1 species